UAGUUACUAUGGAUAAGUGGUAUCAAGUAGUCCAAAUAGAGCUGGUAUUGAUCGAGAUUAGAGAUGGAGAAGACAAGUACAAUUAAGAUAAAGAUCAAUCGGUUCGACAGGAAGAACAAUUUCUCCUUGUGACAAGUGAGAAUGAAGGAUGUGCUCAUCCAACAUGGAUUGAUUGAUGCUUUCUUCUAUGAAAAGAAGUUAGACACAAUGGAGGAG
rnacentral:lncRNA from 1 species